rnacentral:rRNA from 1 species
UAGGGAAUCUUCGGCAAUGGGGGGAACCCUGACCGAGCAACGCCGCGUGAGUGAAGAAGGUUUUCGGAUCGUAAAGCUCUGUUGUUAAGGAAGAACGAGUGUGAGAAUGGAAAGUUCAUGCUGUGACGGUACUUAACCAGAAAGGGACGGCUAACUACGUGCCAGCAGCCGCGGUAAUACGUAGGUCCCGAGCGUUGUCCGGAUUUAUUGGGCGUAAAGCGAGCGCAGGCGGUUAGAAAAGUCUGAAGUGAAAGGCAGUGGCUCAACCAUUGUAGGCUUUGGAAACUGUUUAACUUGAGUGCAGAAGGGGAGACUGGAAUUCCCGGUGUAACGGUGGAAUGUGUAGAUAUCGGGAAGAACACCAAUGGCGAAGGCAGGUCUCUGGGCUGUUACUGACGCUGAGAAGCGAAAGCGUGGGGAGCGAACAGG